GAUUCUGGCUCAGGAUGAACGCUAGCUACAGGCUUAACACAUGCAAGUCGAGGGGCAGCAUUGGAGUAGCAAUACUCAGAUGGCGACCGGCGCACGGGUGAGUAACACGUAUCCAACCUGCCGCUUACUCGGGGAUAGCCUUUCGAAAGAAAGAUUAAUACCCGAUGGUAUAAAGAGUUCGCAUGUUCUCUUUAUUAAAGAAUUUCGGAAGCGAUGGGGAUGCGUUCCAUUAGAUAGUUGGCGGGGUAACGGCCCACCAAGUCUACGAUGGAUAGGGGUUCUGAGAGGAAGGUCCCCCACAUUGGAACUGAGACACGGUCCAAACUCCUACGGGAGGCAGCAGUGAGGAAUAUUGGUCAAUGGACGCGAGUCUGAACCAGCCAAAAGUAGCGUGAAGGAUGACUGCCCUAUGGGUUGUAAACUUCUUUUAUAAGGGAAUAAAGUGAGGGACGUGUCCCUUUUUGUAUGUACCUUAUGAAUAAGGAUCGGCUAACUCCGUGCCAGCCGCCGC
rnacentral:rRNA from 1 species